GACAGAGGCCUCAAGCGUUAGGCGGAAUCACUGGGCUUAAAGCGUGUGUAGGCGGAUCGUUAAGUGUCUUGUGAAAUCCCCGGGCUCAACCCGGGAACUGCGUCCGAUACUGGCAGGCUUGAAUCCGGGAGAGGGAUGCGGAAUUCCAGGUGUAGCGGUGAAAUGCGUAGAUAUCUGGAGGAACACCGGUGGCGAAGGCGGCAUCCUGGACCGGUAUUGACGCUGAGGCGCGAAAGCCAGGGGAGCAAACGGG
rnacentral:rRNA from 1 species